UACGUAGGUGGCAAGCGUUGUCCGGAAUUAUUGGGCGUAAAGCGCUCGCAGGCGGUCCUUUAAGUCUGAUGUGAAAGCCCACGGCUCAACCGUGGAGGGUCAUUGGAAACUGGGGGACUUGAGUGCAGGAGAGAAGAGUGGAAUUCCACGUGUAGCGGUGAAAUGCGUAGAGAUGUGGAGGAACACCAGUGGCGAAGGCAGCUCGCUGGGACGGUACUGACGCUGAGGCGCGAAAGCGUGGGGAGCAAACAGG
rnacentral:rRNA from 1 species